UACGUAUGGUGCAAGCGUUAUCCGGAUUUACUGGGUGUAAAGGGAGCGCAGGCGGCACGGCAAGCCUGAUGUGAAAGCCCGCGGCCCAACCGCGGGACUGCAUUGGGAACUACCGGGCUGGAGUGCCGGAGAGGUAGGCGGAAUUCCUAGUGUAGCGGUGAAAUGCGUAGAUAUUAGGAGGAACACCAGUGGCGAAGGCGGCCUACUGGACGGUGACUGACGCUGAGGCUCGAAAGCGUGGGGAGCAAAUAGG
rnacentral:rRNA from 1 species